rnacentral:rRNA from 1 species
AUGAAAUGGCAGUCGUUCCUCUCCACUUUUGUGCUUAACAAGAUGUGUGAGAUCAUAGCUAGUGGGGUGAGGAUUGACAAAGGCUUCGAGGAGGUGUACUUGAACCUUGUUGCAAAGCAGGUGUUCGACUUCUAUGGACAGGAGGUCACCUCGACCCAGGUGUACAACCAUCUGAGGAAGUGGAGAGCUAGGUGGAUCACCGCGUCCAAGCUUAGAGACCUCAAUGGUGCUUCAUGGGAUGAGGACAUGUGCUCGAUCCUUCUGGAGGCAGAGCACUACCAAGGCCACGUCGCGGCUCACCCCAAGGACGCAGAGUUCCCCAACACCCCUAUCCAGAACUACCACCAGAUGCAGCAGAUUUUCUCCUUCGGGCUGGCAACCGGCAAGCAUGCCAUGGGCUAUGGUCAGCCGCUGGGAUCACCGAUGUCGGAAAAGAGGAAGCAGGCAGGCUUCAUAGAGGAGGAGCUGAGCAUCUUCAGCAGCAUGACUGAGGCAGCGAAGGAGGUGGCCACCGCCAUUAGGGAGAGCAAGAGUGUGGACGUCCAUCCUAAGCUCUACAACGCUGUCAUGGAUCAGAUUGGCUUCAGCCCAGAGGCUCUCAUGGUGGCUCUCAGCCACCUGCUGGACAACAAAGCCCAGGGUGUUGGGUGGUAUAUACUAACCCCUCACGAUGAUCCUCGCGGUGAUCACGAACUUGCGGUGGGAAAGUGGUAUGUGGCGUUCGAAGGUAGGGUUCCAGGGGUUUACAGUUCAUGGGAAGGUUGCAACAAACAAGUUUCAGGGUACAACGACAGCAACCACAAAUGA